AGAGAGAGGGAGACCAGCUGGGUGGAAUGCAGAGAGCCAAAGACAAGUGAAACCCUUUGUUGUAGGCGUGUAGACUGCGUGGUUUGCUCGGCACUCUUUUCAACAGUGUCUGCCUUAGCGACCCUCUCGACCCUUGUUAUAAAAGGCGUUGAGCCGCUCACAGGAAAAGGAUGGAAGCAGAUUGAAAGAGAUAGUCCAAGCUCUCUGCCUCUCUCUCUCUCUCUCUCUCUCUUCUCUAUCUUCAUCUUCGUCGUCUUGAUCGCUCUCAUCUCGCUCUCGCGAAUGUUGUCUCUCGUCUUCUCCUCUGUCCGCCAUUCAAAGAUCACCUAUUCUUUCCGUUUGGUUUGCGGUGACUAAGAACUCUUUCUCUCUCUCGCUCUGUGUCACUCUUGCUUUCUCCCGACUUUUCUGGGAUUGAUGAAAAUGGCGGAAAGAUCGAACUCGUCGGACCCGGAAACAAGCCCCUCGAACUCACCCUCCACCUCCUCGUCUUCUUCCUCGUACUCGCCCGACCCGCGCCGCCGGGCCGGCUCGCCCGCCGCGGCCCGCGACCCGUCGAGAUCCUCCAAGCGGAGCAAGCACCCGGUGUACCGCGGGGUCCGGAUGAGGAACUGGGGCAAGUGGGUGUCGGAGAUCCGGGAGCCCCGCAAGAAGUCCCGCAUCUGGCUCGGCACCUUCCCCACCCCGGAGAUGGCCGCCCGCGCCCACGACGUCGCCGCCCUCCACAUUAAGGGCUCCUCCGCCUUCCUCAACUUCCCCCACCUCGCCGCCUCCCUCCCCCGCCCCUCCUCCCUCUCCCCGCGCGACGUCCAGGCCGCGGCCUCCCUCGCCGCCCACAUGCCCGACCACCAAGGAACGGUCGAGACCUUGCGGCCGACAGCGGAGCUCGACUCUCAGCACUCGUCAUUGCCCUCGAGGUCGCUGUCGUCCAUGGUGUCGGCGAUGGACAUAUCGGCGACGGUGGAGCUGAGCGAGAUCGUGGAGCUGCCGAGCCUCGGGGCCAGCUGCGACGAGCUGGGGGCAGCGAGUUCGCCUUCGUCGACUCCGUCGGCGCCGAGUGGGGCUACUGCUACCACGACGACUACCAGCCGACGUGGCCGGAGCACCUCGAGGACUGCGGGCCGUACGACUGCGGCCAUCAGACGGCGGCGCUGCCCGAGAGCGGUGGGUCGCUUUUGUGGGAUUAUGACUGAGCGAGUGGAUUUACUGUUGGUGAGAGAGUUUGUGAAUUUGUGUGAAAAGAAAAUGAUUUUUUCCCUUUUUUAAUGAAUUAUGGUGCUUUUUUUUAUUAUUAUUGUUAUUGUCCUUUUCAUUUUUUUUUUUUUUAUAAGUUUUACCGAGUCCUUUUGGUAUUUUCUUUGAAAGGGCCGGUCAAAGGUGUGGUGUUCCUCUCGCACGCUCGAUCCACUAACGCGUUUGGAUAAAUUUCUGCUGUUUACAGAUUCUCUGUGUUCAUGUGA